UGGAAUGUGGGGGGUCUCAAAGAAUUUUUAUAAAUAAAAAUCCAAAUAUCAACAUUUUCUAAUCUCGCUCGAUGGUUGAGGUCUUAUAUAGAACAUCAUCAGUAUAAUGAUGUUGAAAGCAACCUGCCAACAUCAUUUUCUCCGGAACAUUGAGAACCGAUAGGAUUCUAUGUGUAUUUACACUGACAUUCUCUCUUCUUCGACUAACUGAACAUUGAAUUAAUGUCGUACAUGCAUCCUACUUCAUAUGAGCAGCGCUCAUGUUUCCAAAAAAUAAACAGUGUGAGUUUACUAUUAAAGUGGAUGUCUUGUUUCUCCAGGAAUGAGCUUAAAAAACACAUGAGCUACUGUGACUAGGUGGCCACUUGAUUAGGUGUAUGUGUUAGUUUUAUGUUCUGUAACAUGUUAGCCGUAGGCAGUAUUUUUGGACCGAGACUUGCUCCUGUUGUUUGUUUCAGAUAUUCAGUUUAAGAUCUAAAUUUCACCAAUAUGUCUUUUGUUUACCUUUCCUGAUGUGUUUUAGAUGAACAGAAUCACUUGUGUUUAUAUGGAUAGUAGCUACUUUUACUUCAGCACAUAAAGAACGAAAUCUGUAUGAGUAUUUUUUAAAGCAUUUCUACAUAAGCAAAACAUAUCAAGGGGCAGUAUGCUGGAAUAAAAUCAUAUAUACAAAUUUGUUUCUAGAGCAAGGAUGAAAAGCACUCCAUACACACUCACAAGGAUGAUGAUCCAUCUGUUUCUAGGAUGGUGGGACUUGAGGUCAAACUGCACAGCAAGCCCAUUUGGGGAAUGUAUUUGAACAAUGACCCAAGCAGUCGCACAAGUGGAUCUGCACAUAUUAUUAUCAAGAUCUUGCAUGUGAUUAACCGGGCGGGAGGAGAUGGAAGAAGGGCUUGGCCACUUGGAUCGUGAGAUGACUAUUCGCAAAACAGAGUAGGUCAUGGUGGAUGAAGAGAACAUUAACCGACAGACUUUUCGGUUGCUGAUCAAAUAUAAAAUAUGUAAUUUUCUGUUUCAGUAAUAAACGGGCA